rnacentral:rRNA from 1 species
GUCUACGGCCAUGCCACCCUCAAUAAGCCCUAUCCCAUGUGAUCUCAGAAGCUAAACAGAGUCAGGCCUGGGUACUACUUGGAUGGGAGAACACCAAGGAAGACUAGGUGCUGUAGUCA